rnacentral:piRNA from 1 species
UGAGAUAUAUUCCAGAUUAACUUUGCC